rnacentral:lncRNA from 1 species
UUCCCCAAACUAUCUGCUGAGAAUUCACCCAGUAAUUUGGGCAUUUGCGCAAUGCACUAGAGGAUGACACCACUCUCUGUCUCUUCUCUCAUAUAAGUAAACUUCACUCCAUCUCUCAAAAAAUUUUAACAACAAACACAAUUCAGCAAAAUACUUACUGGAAAAAUUCAUAUGAAGAUCAAUUGCAGCAAAACAAACGAAUAAGCAAAAAGAAACACAUCAGUAUCAUUUUCUUCACUACAAAAUCCUCCAGAUGAAUUAUUUUAAAACAGUAUUUUGGAGUUAUAAAUGUGAAUUCUACCUAUUCAUAUGUGCAUAAUGUACUUUCCGUGGACUUCAAAGAUGAUAGACAACACUUGGCAAAGACCGAGUGUGGAAGGUAAUGGCAUCAGCAUCCCAUAUGGGUACCAGUUCAAGUUCCAGCUGCUCCACUUCUGAUCCAUCUCCCUGGGAAAGUAUCUGAAGAUGAUCUGAGUGUUUGGUCCCCUGCCACCCAUAUGAGUGACCCCAAUGAAAAUCUUGGCUCCUGGCUUUGGAUUGCCUCAGUUCCUGCUAUUGCGGUCUCUAACAAGUGAAUAGAAGAUAUACCUCUGCAUCUGUCUCUGUCUGUCUGUCUGUCUGUCUCUCUCUUUCUCUCUUUCUAACUCUGUCUUUCAAAUAAAUAAAUAAAUCUUUUUUUAAAAAAAUGCA